AGUCCUAUGGCUCAGUUGAUAGAGCAUUGCACUAAGAAUGCAAAGGUAUCAGUGGGUUCGAACUAGGGCCUA
rnacentral:tRNA from 1 species